rnacentral:rRNA from 1 species
GACGAACGCUGGCGGCGUGCUUAACACAUGCAAGUCGAACGGGCCCGCCCCUGUUUUUGGGGUUGGUUGAGUGGCGAACGGGUGAGUAACACGUGAGUAAACUGCCCCCUUCUCCUGGAUAAAUGCUUGAAAGGGCGGCUAAUACGGGGUUUGCCGGCCUGUUCCCCAGGGGCUGGUCGGGGUUGUUUUAUCUUCGGGGGGUUCGGGGGGGGAUUGGGUCGCGGCCUAUCAGCUUGUUGGUGGGGGGAUGGCCCACCAAGGCGGUGACGGGUAGCCGGCCUGAGAGGGUGGGCGGCCACACUGGGACUGAGACACGGCCCAGACUCCUGCGGGAGGCAGCAGUGGGGGGUAUUGCACAAUGGGCGGAAGCCUGAUGCAGCGACGUCGCGUGAGGGAUGGAGGCCUUCGGGUUGUGAACCUCUUUCUCCGGUGGUGAAGGCCCUGUCCGUUGCGGCGGGGUUGACGGUAGCCGGGUAUGAAGCGCCGGCUAACUACGUG